rnacentral:rRNA from 1 species
UACGAGGGGGGCAAGCGUUGUUCGGAAUUAUUGGGCGUAAAGGGCGCGUAGGCGGUUUGGCAAGUCUAGUGUGAAAUCUUCGGGCUCAACUCGAAGUCUGCACUGGAAACUGCCGGGCUUGAGUAUGGGAGAGGUGAGUGGAAUUUCCGGUGUAGCGGUGAAAUGCGUAGAUAUCGGAAGGAACACCUGUGGCGAAAGCGGCUUCCUGGUCCAGCACCGACGUCAGGCACGAAAGCGUGGGGAGCAAACAGG